rnacentral:rRNA from 1 species
CAGUCGCCACGGGAAUACGUAGGGUGCGAGCGUUAAUCGGAAUUACUGGGCGUAAAGCGUGCGCAGGCGGUUAUAUAAGACAGAUGUGAAAUCCCCGGGCUCAACCUGGGACCUGCAUUUGUGACUGUAUAGCUAGAGUACGGUAGAGGGGGAUGGAAUUCCGCGUGUAGCAGUGAAAUGCGUAGAUAUGCGGAGGAACACCGAUGGCGAAGGCAAUCCCCUGGACCUGUACUGACGCUCAUGCACGAAAGCGUGGGGAGCAAACAGGAUUAGAUACCCCAGUAGUCCCUGUCUCUUAUAC